rnacentral:lncRNA from 1 species
CAAGGUGGCUGCCUCAUCUCAAGCAUCACUGUUAGAUUCCAGGCAGGAAGUGGAGGGAAAUCAGGGAAUAAAAGGUGAACAGCAGCUGAAUUGCCUCUCCUAUUGGAGAUAUUUCUCAGAAGUCCUAGCUGGCCACUUCCGCAUCCCUGACUACCAGGGAGGUUAUGUGUGUGUGGGGUGGGGGAGAUGGGCCUGGGGUAACCACCAGAGGCAGCGGCAGAAGGUGGGCCACAGCCUUGAAGAGAGGGUGCAGGACGAUCUGGCUGUCCACGGAAUCAGGCCCGGCUGGCAGUCGCCUCUGUCUUCCCUGCUCUCGUCUGACCCAGUUGUCCAUUUUUACAUUUGAUGGGCUUGAAGAGAUCAAAAUGCAGCUGCUAAGGGAAGCAAGAAAGGCAAUGUCCGUACUGAAGUAACAACACAAAAAAGAAACGUCAUUUACACGAGACCUGUGCCGCGAGCUACUACCCUGCUUUUAAAAGAUGAAGCAACCUUGGCAGUUGGCCCCAGGCGAGACCUACAGCACUGACCCAUGGUGAAGGGCUUGGGCUUUCCCGUUCUUAAAUCCUCAGAGGAGAUUCCACACCCCUCAUUACUCUGCUGCACCACCUCCAAUCAAGAUGAUUUCACAUCAGUAAAACCACUCAAGAAUUCCCAUUUUCUAUCCCUGGAGCUUUUUGCUCCAGCUUUACUCUUUUUUAAUCUUAAAAGCUUCUCUCUAAUCCACUGCUCCCCUUCCCUCGUUAAUUGUUUUAAUAAAGAAAACGCUGGGUGAGCUGCAAAGCCCAGGUCUGGCUCCGUUAAUGGGCUGGGCACCUUCUGCCCAAAUGAGUGCUGCGGACCCCGCCAGCCAGGCGAUGGGAAGAAAGACACUGCAGCACGUCGUACAGAGGUCAUGAUAGGAUGCAGAUGACAGCAUGGAGACAUUUUUACUAUGAAUGAGAUUUACUGUUUUAGAAAACAAACCCAAGCCUUUCUUCCUGAAGUUUACUGUCACUCAUUAACCCAGGUUUUUUGGAUCAUAUUUUGUUAAUGUAAAUCUAAAAAGAGUUUUCAGCAGCCACCAAAGAAAAAUACUGUCACCCAAAGUGUUUGAACAAGGAAGGCAUGGCGACUUUGUUUUAGAAAGUGCUUUCUUGACUUUACAUACCCCUCGGUGCUAUCCAACUUUCUCUUUUAACUUUAGAACAAGACUUGUUCACACAGAAGUCAUCUAUACGCGAUCCCCCGCCUCCAACUCGUCUUCGCGUUUCAGCGCAGUGAGCCUGGGUGCCGCUGUCUGCGCUGUGCAAGGUGACGCUGCCCCGAGGGGCGGUGCGAGUCUCCCUUUGGGCCUCCUGCCGUCACCCACGUGAAUGUGAGGGGUGCGGGCUCUCCUCCUCCUCUGGGGAUCUGCAUGUCCUCCAUGCCUAGACCGCUGGACUUCCUUCCCCACCAGCCGCUGU